UACGUAGGGGGCAAGCGUUAUCCGGAAUUACUGGGUGUAAAGGGAGCGUAGACGGUAAUGUAAGUCUGGAGUGAAAGGCGGGGGCCCAACCCCCGGACUGCUCUGGAAACUGCCAUGCUAGAGUGCUGGAGAGGUAAGUGGAAUUCCUAGUGUAGCGGUGAAAUGCGUAGAUAUUAGGAGGAACACCAGUGGCGAAGGCGGCUUACUGGACAGUAACUGACGUUGAGGCUCGAAAGCGUGGGGAGCAAACAGG
rnacentral:rRNA from 1 species